rnacentral:lncRNA from 10 species
UGCCCAGGCUGGUCUGAAACUCCUAGACUGAAGCAAUCCUCCUGCCUCAGCCUCUCAAAGUGCUGAGUUUACAGAGGUGAGCCACCGCUCCUGGCCAAAUACUGUAUUUUCCCUCUGCGAUUGGUGGAACCUGCGGAUACGGAGGGCUAAAUGAUUUUGUUUUAUGUGGACAAAAAGACCGAAGAAGAAGAGAAAAGCGAGGAGGAGGAGGCAGGGAGGGGAAGAGCAGGAGGAGGAGGCGGCAGCCCUCAGUAAGGUACCUAAACAGUGAAAAGAUUUCAUCCACAUAUAUGCUACAAAGUGAAUCUUUUUAAAAGUACAUUUUCAAGAGAUAGAGAAGCAGACAAAAUGAAACAGCUACCUCAUUGAGGACCUGUGGCCCAGUGGACUUGUCCUCUGCAGAAUUAUCAAAGGAAAAGGUGGAACAGUAAUGAGGGAUUCCAGAAAAUUUUGGAAGAAACACAACAUACCUCCAGAAAUUCAACUUGGUCCCAUACAUAUAAAACACAACAGGCCUAACCAAAACAUGCCCUGUGAGACAUAUGGGGCCUGUGGGCUCCCUCAUAUCUUUCAUUCUAAUUUAGAUUCUCUACAACUAUAAAUGAAAGAGCCAACACUAGCAAAAAUAAAGUACCUUCUCGGAGACUUUGUGAAGACUGUUGCAGGUGACAUCAUGUCCAUCAAAGGCCAGAAACCCAACAUUUAUGACAACCACGUGGGAGACAGUGACCAAGCAGGAUAGAGGGGGGUGCCACAAAAUGAAAAAGGUAGGCCAUAGCUUACCGCAAUCUGUGUUUUUUAUAUAAAAUCUUCAUUUUUAAUGCUGACUCAAUUUUUUUCUAAGAUUCCCGGAUUAUAACUGAAACUACAUCUCUGAAGCCAAAGCCUUUUCAUUCUGAAGCCUGGAGUCUAAUCCAUUCCAUAAAUAAAUGAAAUUCUGGGUCUCCUGGUUGAUUUUCACAUCCUACAGGAUACAUUUAUGAAAACAGUUUUGAUAUAGGGAUUCUAAUCUUUUAUUCAGAUUUCUAUAAAACAAGGUCAUAAGAAAUAAAAGAGAUCUCUUGGGAUAAAAUGAUGAGAGAGGAAAAGUGCAAGUUCUCAUUUGUGUGCUAUGCUAAGCUUAACAACAAAAGGACCGCAAAAUUUCUAUUGAUGAUGUUGACAUAAAACAAUGAAUACUAGGAAAGGCAAUUUCUUCCUUCAUAUUAAGCAUCUCAGGAGCCUUUCUAAAAUGCACACCUAUAGCACCAUCCCACUUCCUGCUCUUCAAUAGCUCCCUAAUGCUUUUAGAGCCAAGUUCAGCCUCUUUAGCACAGUGUACCAGGCCCUUUGUGUACUAGCACUGCUGUCCCUGCCCACCUUUCCAGCCUCACCUGUGGUACUCUUAUUUAUUUUCUCUUAUCUAAUUGAGUUAAUACUCACAUAUAAUAAAAUGCACAAAUCUUCAGUGUAUAAUUCAAUGAGUUUUUAAAUGUGUGACCAACCUUCCAGUGGAGAUAUAGAACCUCGCAUCACCCACAGUUUCCCAUGAGUCCCCUUCUAGUUGAGGCCCACUCCACAAACUCUAACUUCCAUCUCCAUAGAUUAGUUUUGCCUGUUCUUGAACUUCAUAUAGAUGAAAUCAUGCACUGUGCACCCCUUUGUACCUGGCUUUCAUGUUAUCCUGUGUAUCAAUAGUUCAUUUUUUUAAAUUGCUGAAUAGUACCAUGUCGUAUAUAUGUCACCAUUUGUUUAAAUAUUUAAGCUUGUUUUCAUGUUUUGGCUAUUACAAAUAAAGCUGCUGCCUGCCGGGUGCGGUGGCUCACACCUGUAAUCCCAGCACUUUGGGAGGCUGAGGUGGGUGGAUCACCUGAAGUCGGGAGUUCAAGACCAGCCUGACCAACAUGGAGAAACCCUGUCUCUACUAAAAAAAAUACAAAAUUAGCCGGGCUUGGUGACAUAUGCCUGUAAUCCCAGCUACUCGGGAGGCUGAGC